UAUGAGUGUAUCAAGCCAGUGAGUAGUUACUCUGGGGGUUUCUUUCCUUGUAGAUCCUACUGAUUCCAAGUGGUGAUGUCUGGUUUUGUUCUAGAUGGAGGAAGAGAUUCAAGGAGCAAAUAAGUAACAUUUCCAGAAAUGACUUACAAAGCUCUCAAGCCUCAGAGCAUCACUAAGCAGAAAGCUGCCACCUUCCUGCAUCAACAGGACAAAGGGCUACUGAGGUCCCAAAGAGCCUCUAAUUGAAUCUGGAGCUCAACAACUGGUUCAGACUGGCAGCCAGCAAGCCCCAGGAACCCCUUUGACUCCACCUCUCCAGAGCUGGGCUUAUAGAAUUGCUAGCCACUCUCCAAUUUUUAAGUGGAUGCUGGAGAUCAAACUCAGGUCCCCACACUGACUUACAGAAAGGAACAUGUUUCUUCAAGAUUAUGAUUACAUGAAAACAAUCCUAAAAUUAGAGAAUUGAUACAGAUAUAGCUUAAAUAUGAAAUGUCCCCUGCAAGCCAGUCGUUAGAGGGUCUACUCCCCAGAUGGGGAUGCUACUCUGGAGGAUGUAAUACUUUUAGGGAUGGAACCUGGCUGCCCUUGAAGGGUAUAGCCCAGGCCUUGGUUCCAGAACUCCCUCUCUGCUUCCUGGUCAAAUAUGAGGUGAGCAGGCUCUAUUAUACACUCUAGUUAACAUAAAUUUACUCUUGAAACAGAGAGCCAAAACAAUCUUUUCCUCCCUUACACUGUUUCAGCCAAGUCCCUUGGUCACAGUGAUACAAAACAUACAAAAUAGUCUGGUACAGGAGAAUUGGGUUGUUGCUUCAAUGAAAACUAGAUAUGUGCUUCUGGGCCCUUGGAAACGGCUUGUGAGAAGAACUUAGGAAAAUCUGGAGAUGUGGACUAGAAAAAUCCUUCAAGAAGCCCUAGAGCCCACCCACCCCCAAAUGACACAGGCUAUUGCCCCUGUUCUUGCUGCCCACCAUAACUAGAAGGCAAGAUCUAUUGCUGAAGACACCACACACUUGUUGAGAACACAGAGAAAUCUGGAACUGACCUGAAAACUUCCUCCCUGCUGGUAGGUGCUAUGCAGGCUGCUGGAGAAGAAAAAGAAUCAAUGGGCUAACCCAGCAGUAGACCCUGCUUUCCACGAUAUUGACCUGACAGGCAAGAUGUAAAGGCUUGACUGCUAUGAAGUAACCCAACUGCUUUUGAUUGGAUCUGAACUCUGUUGCAUAGGAAGCAAUUCACACCUGAUCCCUAUAAACCUGGUCAAAAACCCAGGGCUGGGAAGGAGCCCUCUACUGUUGUUUUGCUAAAUGGUGCCAAGUAUUUGUUUAUAUGCACAGAUUAGUGUUAAUCUCAGCUUUUUUUCAGAAAAAGCCCACCCCCCUUUUGGCAGUGGUAGAUGCAGAAACUCAGAACGAAUAAAAAGGUUGAGAAUAAAUGACCUCCCCAAGGCUCAGGGAACAUUCUGGAAGGAGAGGAAAGAGCUAGAGAAAGAGUCCUAUAAAAUGCUGUCUUCUGGAUAUGAAAUGGCCAUCACACUCGUGAAGUCAAAGCAGCAGUGAUUGCUUGCACAAGAUUAAGCCGUCAACAUUGAGUGGGUUCAUCCAGCUGAAGGGUUACUGGCAGUUAACGGCUGCUGUGGGAGGGAAAGUCAUUUCUCUUCAGGGGUUGGUUGCAGCCACUGACAGGUUACCUGUGCUAUGGUGGACAUCCCUGUAUAUGCAGGGACUCCAUGGGUUAUAUAUAUAUAUAUAAAAGUAGAAAAUGAGGGUGGGAGGUGUUUUGUGUUAGGGAAAUCUGAGAAGAGGAGUGGGAAGUCAUGGGUGGAUAUGAUCAAGAUACAAUGUACCUUGCAUGUAAGUAUGAAAUUACCCAAAAUAAAUAAAAAUGUUAUUUUUAAGAGGAAGAAAAGUUCUAGGAUAGUGUUAGUAAACCUUAGGUUGGUUCUUGUGGGUGUGUGGAAGACCUGAGUGCCGAGAGACAUGCAGACAGUGAGGCUGUGCUUCUGCUGUUUGGGAUGGGAACAAGGAGUCCGCUGAGAGCAGGAAUAGAGACUACUUGUGUUACAUCUGGCACAGAAUUUGCCUAUAUUUUAACUGUGUUCUGGAAAUUAUAAAGAGGCUGAAUUCCAAAGUAAUUCAAGGCAGCACAGCAUUCAGGAUAUGGCACGGUUACAGCUGACUGCUUUAGCCAGGCUUACAGUGGGGUCUGAGAAUAAAAAUUAGAGCAGGAAGAUAUGAAAAAUGAACUAUUUGGCCAGUAAAGGAGAACAUCUCAAGCUGCCAUAG